CAAAGCAUGAAUUGCAAAGCAACCAAAGAAAAAGAACAAAAAAAAACUCAGAAGUCUUCUCUCUCCUCCCAACCGAUCCCUCCACCCGCACCCCCGCCCACCCUGGCGCAACCCCCCAACCCUCCCGCCCGUCCUGAUGCCACCGCACCGAUGGGUUGUGUGUUGGUGCCCCCACUCCACCCCCAUGUGCCCUGUGCUUCCACUCUCCGACGCACCUGGCCCCACCCCCCGUCACUGUCGGCUCAACUAGGUGGGAGGCUUGGAGCGACGGAAUAGAGAAGCUUAGACAACCCCACC
rnacentral:lncRNA from 1 species